UACGGAGGGUGCGAGCGUUGUCCGGAAUCACUGGGCGUAAAGGGCGCGUAGGCGGUGUGUCGCGUCGGCCGUGAAAACCUGCAGCUUAACUGUGGGCUUGCGGUCGAUACGGGCAUCACUGGAGUUCGGCAGGGGAGACUGGAAUUCCUGGUGUAGCGGUGAAAUGCGCAGAUAUCAGGAGGAACACCGGUGGCGAAGGCGGGUCUCUGGGCCGAUACUGACGCUGAGGAGCGAAAGCGUGGGGAGCGAACAGG
rnacentral:rRNA from 1 species